rnacentral:tRNA from 1 species
GAAUAAGAAGCGAAAAAUUGCAUUCAGUUUCGACCUGAAAGAAAGGUAAUAUUUACCCUUAUUCU